GCCUUCACCUGUUUCCUAUCCCUGGCCCGGGGUUUUGCCCUGCUGUGUCCGCUCUCUCUCCACACGUUGCUCAUUUCCAUUAUAGGUGAUAUUACGGUGAUACACAUCCCACGUACCUGCUCUGCUUGUCUUUACCUAAGUUUCACCCGUAGUAUUGCAUCACCGUUCCUAACCGUUGUAAGACUAAGUCUACGAGUAUGAUAUGAGAGAAUGAAGCCUAAUUACGAGAGAGACAACUGGCACUGCAACCUCGUGAAACAUCAUCCAAUCGACGAACCAUCCUUACUAAGUGCUUUCCACCUCACAACAUCCGCUGCCACCGUACUUGGGGUAAACGGACUUUUGCUAAUGAUAGUUGAUUCAAUGUUGUUGUCGUAUUUAA